AAGUCAUUCCUCAGCAUCUUUUUUCACUGCAAUUUUGUCCAGAGAGAAAAAAGAGAGAGAAUUUUCUUUCUGAUACAGAGAGCCUGUAUCCAAGAAUUACAAGACAUGUGGAGACCAGACAAGCUUAGCAGGGAUACAAUCGAUGUACAGCCCUCAUGCAAUGUCUUGCUCUGUCAUCCAGGCUCGUAUGCAGAGGUGUGAUCCGUGGCUCACUGCAGCCUCAACCUCCUGGGCUCAAGCACUCCUCCAGCCUUAGCCUCCUGAGUAGCUAGAA